CGGGUCUACCCGGACAUCAACCGCCUAAAGCCAGCAUGUUCUCUUCGAACCAUCCGCUGCAUCCGGGACAUUCUUUGACCAAGUCACAGCAAAUCACCGAUCUCUCUAGCAAGAAGCAGGAACAGCCAACCUCCUCAUCUAACCAGUGAUACGACAACAGGUGGACAGCGCUAGCCAUGCUCAGCAGACAAGUCCCACGGUCACCGAUCUACCAUACGCCCUUCGGGAAAUUGUUGACCUCGAUGGUCCGGCCGCAGUGACAGCUGGUGCUCGUACUACCGGAAUUCCUCGGAAUCGGUUCAAGAACCGCAUCAACUACAAGGGUUCUCUGAUGAGUA